AAGGGAGAGGAAUACGUAGAAAUCUACCCCUGGGACCGGGAUAGCGUCGGGAAACUGGCAGUAAUACCGGAUAACGUCCAAGGACCAAAGGUGUGAUUCCACCUGGGGAUGAGUCUACGCCCUAUUAGCUAGUUGGUGGGGUAAUGGCCUACCAAGGCGAUGAUGGGUAGCGGGUGUGAGAGCAUGAUCCGCCUCACUGGGACUGAGAACUGCCCAGACACCUACGGGUGGCUGCAGUCGAGAAUCUUUGUCAAUGGACGAAAGUCUGAACAAGCGACGCCGCGUGCGGGAUGAAGGCCUUCGGGUUGUAAACCGCUGUCGUAGGGGAACAAAUGUAUGGGGGUUCUCCCCUGUAUUUGAGUGAUCCUAGGAGGAAGGAGAGGCUAAGCUCGUGCCAGCAGCCGCGGUAAGACGAGCUCUCCAAACGUUAUUCGGUAUCACUGGGCUUAAAGAGUUCGUAGGCGGCCUAGCAGGUCAGGUGUGAAAUCCCACGGCUCAACCGUGGAAUAGCGCUUGAAACCGCUGGGCUUGAGGGAGAUAGAGGUAGGCGGAACAGAUGGUGGAGCGGUGAAAUGCGUUGA
rnacentral:rRNA from 1 species